AAUCAACGCUGGCGGCGUGCCUCAGACAUGCAAGUCGAACGAUUAAAGCUCUCUUCGGAGAGUGUAUAGAGUGGCGCACGGGUGAGUAACACGUAAGUAAUCUACCUUCGAGUGGGGAAUAACGUCCGGAAACGGACGCUAAUACCGCAUAAUGCAGCGGCAUCGCAAGAUGACAGUUGUUAAAGACUUAUCGCUUGAAGAGGAGCUUGCGGCAGAUUAGCUAGUUGGUAAGGUAACGGCUUACCAAGGCUACGAUCUGUAUCCGGUCUAAGAGGACGGUCGGACACACUGACACUGAAUAACGGGUCAGACUCCUACGGGAGGCAGCAGUCGGGAAUUUUGGGCAAUGGGCGAAAGCCUGACCCAGCAACGCCGCGUGAAGGAUGAAGUA
rnacentral:rRNA from 1 species